CGCAUGAUAAGUGCCUUCACGCGCCAGCCUGCUGCCGGGACCCCUGGAAGCCUGUCCCGUCCUCCUCCCUUUGUUGUGUAUCAGGAAGUGCUGAAGACAGUGUUCCUGUUUGCUGCGGAAGUUCCUUUUUACAAGGCAGCCAGAGAGAGAUCCAGGAAGACCUGCAUCUGAGGAAAGAGUAAGCUGGACACCUGGACUUGAGUCUUCCUCUGCAGGCUGGUGUCCUUUCAAGAAGAGGAGAUGAGGACACAGAUGCACACAGAGGGAAGACCAGUGAAAACACGGGGAGAAGAUGGCCCCUACAAGCCAAGGAGAGAGGCCUCAGGAGAAACCAGCCCU